GGGGAUGAACGGUCUCGACGGGAGAGGCUGAUCCCGGACUGCGAGCCGAGAGGUGCGGACCUCGUAAAAUCAGCACAAAAAAUAAGUGCCAAUCGCACAAACUACGCUGCUCUUCCUCUGGCUGCCUAAGCCGAGCUGAGCGCAAAUGGUCUCCUCGUGAGGCCACGUCUGUCUGCUCCGCUGCCUGACCGGUAGCAGAACAGGCGUGACAAAGUCAGGCUGCCGCAUUCUUCGCCGUGCAGAAUGCGAAAGAGGACUUUCGGGUCCGAGCGGCUGGCGGUGGAUGUGUUCUGUUGGUCAGCGCAUCCACCGUGAGAACAAAGACCAACUACGCUCGUAGAGGUUCGUGGGUCUAAUCUUUCGGACGCGGGUUCGAUUCCCGCCAUCUCCACCU
rfam:Bellilinea caldifistulae strain GOMI-1 contig_5, whole genome shotgun sequence.